CUGCCUUCUUCAUACGGCUUGUUGUAUUAACAGCAUUCUAACCCUAACUUAGUCCGUUAUCUGGACAGUUCCCUAAGUUCUAUUUUCAUUGCACUGUGCACAGUGUGUUUCUGGGGUUGCCUUUCACACUUUGCAGGAAAACAAGAACUAAACGAUAAGGAACCUUGGAAGGGGUGGCGGACGAACUUUUAGCGCUCAACAUUGGACAAACGAAGGUCCCGGUCUCGAUGCUUGAAAUGACGCAAAAGUUUGGAGAAAUACAGACGUGAGUACACUCUCUGUAUUUAAGGGUUUGCCCUGCUUCUCUGCUUUUGCUCUUUCUUGACGUUGUUUGAGGACUGAAAAUGGAAUUGAGUGAAGAGCGAUAUUGAUGUUUCAUUUCUGUCCUGCUUUCGGAUCGUUUCGCGCGGUCCAACUGUGAAAGCAGUGCACGUGUCCUAUCAAACAUUU
rnacentral:telomerase_RNA from 1 species